CAUCUCCGCCUGCUGCGGACAGAUGAAAUGGAUAUGGGCGUCGACGCCGCCGGCAGUCAGGAUCUUGCCCUCGCCGGCAACCACGUCGGUGCCGGGACCGAUGACGAUAUCGACGCCCGGCUGGAUAUCGGGAUUGCCGGCCUUGCCGAUCGCGGCGAUGCGCCCGUCCUUGAUGCCGACAUCGGCCUUCACGAUGCCCCAAUGGUCGAGGAUCACCGCAUUGGUGAUGACGAGGUCGGGCACCUCCGCGGCAUUGCGCUGGCUCUGGCCCAUACCGUCGCGGAUG
rnacentral:sRNA from 8 species